ACUGAAGUGGACACAGAACCCUGGCCCUUGUUGACAUCACUGAUGCACACCCACUGCCCGUCAACCGACUCCUUCCACAGGGUCACCUGCAAGCCAGCACACACAUUGUUACAGUGGAAGUAAAGGAAAAGUAUCCACACAGAGUAAGAAAGGAGGAGUAUGGAGAGUGAUGUCAUGAAGAUGGUGACACAACUUGUUCACGGCUUCACUUUCCCUCAAAAGAAGAACUAACAGCUAUUCAUAGAGACACACCAGUGAACAAAUCCUACAACACAGCAGUGAGGCUGAAGUGUCCUGCACUGUGGACACUGAGACCGACUGUGUUUGAAGGAUCGCAGCUGAAUCUGUGAGGCCCAGCUGCCGAGAAUCAGACUGUGACCAGAGACGGCUUCCAACAACCAGCACUCAGAUCUCCACAGCCCGAGUCCCUGCCUGCAGGGCCCAAGUGAGUCUGUUCUGACAGGGAAGCUGGGGCACAGGUAGGCUUCAGUCCAGACCACAAACAAAGCAUUAGUAACCUUAAAGCUGCUUCCCUGGAAAGCACACCAGUCCAUAGCUGCACUUGCUACUGAAUACAGCCUUUGGACUGCCCAACCAGCGAAGCCACAUAGCCGGUCAACAACCCUGCGUAAGGUAACACAGGAAUAGAAGGCACUGCCAGUGGCAUUCACUGUCUGCAUAGCAAAUCCAGUGGCCUCACCUGAUCAGGAAUUCAGUGCACACUCUUGACUCUUCAGCUCCCCCCAAAAUAAGCCCUGCAUUCUCUGGAUCCUAUUCUGCUGGGUACUGCCAGGGCAAGGAAGGUAAUUCUAGCCUCACCUACUGCUGAGUCAAGUAGCCAGUCCUGACUGUCUAGCAAGCCUGACCAGAGAAUCCAGGCAGCUGUGAAGCCGAUGCUCCAGCCUCACUAGUGCAGGGAAAGAAACCAGCUGUCCUAUCUACCUGAUCUCAGCCAGUGGCACAUUCAGAGUUGAAAAAAGUGCCUCAACCCAAAACAGAACUUAACAGCAGGUCCUUUCACCUAAGAACACUCAUAGGAGAGAAAGCCAGAAACCCAAAUUGAGCUGGCUAGUGAAGAACUGUAUCUGCACACUUCCAGAGGUACAAUGAAUUCUUCGAAAAAGAAUUCAAACAGGGCCCACUGUCAAGAAGCCCACUUCCAAUCUCUUGCAUGCCUAUAAACUAACAAUGAAAAAUCAGAGAAAUUAAGCAAAGACUCCCAUUUACCACUCAAACAAAAAGAAUAAAAUACCCAGGAAUAAACCUACCUAAGGAGGCAACA